rnacentral:rRNA from 1 species
GGUUAAGCGACUAAGCGUACACGGUGGAUGCCCUGGCAGUCAGAGGCGAUGAAGGACGUGCUAAUCUGCGAAAAGCGUCGGUAAGGUGAUAUGAACCGUUAUAGCCGGCGAUGUCCGAAUGGGGAAACCCAGUGCAAUUCGUUGCACUAUCGUUAACUGAAUACAUAGGUUAACGAGGCGAACCGGGGGAACUGAAACAUCUAAGUACCCCGAGGAAAAGAAAUCAACCGAGAUUCCCCCAGUAGCGGCGAGCGAACGGGGAGCAGCCCGGAGUCUGAAUCAGCUUGUGUGUUAGUGGAAGCGUCUGGAAAGUCGCAGGGUACAGGGUGAUACUCCCGUACACUAAAACACACAGGUUGUGAACUCGAAGAGUAGGGCGGGACACGUGGUAUCCUGUCUGAAUAUGGGGGGACCAUCCUCCAAGGCUAAAUACUCCUGACUGACCGAUAGUGAACCAGUACCGUGAGGGAAAGGCGAAAAGAACCCCGGCGAGGGGAGUGAAAAAGAACCUGAAACCGUGUACGUACAAGCAGUAGGAGCCCACUUGUUGGGUGACUGCGUACCUUUUGUAUAAUGGGUCAGCGACUUAUAUUCUGUAGCAAGGUUAACCGUAUAGGGGAGCCGCAGGGAAACCGAGUCUUAACUGGGCGUUAAGUUGCAGGGUAUAGACCCGAAACCCGGUGAUCUAGCCAUGGGCAGGUUGAAGGUUGGGUAACACUAACUGGAGGACCGAACCGACUAAUGUUGAAAAAUUAGCGGAUGACUUGUGGCUGGGGGUGAAAGGCCAAUCAAACCGGGAGAUAGCUGGUUCUCCCCGAAAGCUAUUUAGGUAGCGCCUCGUGAACUCAUCUUCGGGGGUAGAGCACUGUUUCGGCUAGGGGGUCAUCCCGACUUACCAACCCGAUGCAAACUACGAAUACCGAAGAAUGUUAUCACGGGAGACACACGGCGGGUGCUAACGUCCGUCGUGAAGAGGGAAACAACCCAGACCGCCAGCUAAGGUCCCAAAGUCAUGGUUAAGUGGGAAACGAUGUGGGAAGGCCCAGACAGCCAGGAUGUUGGCUUAGAAGCAGCCAUCAUUUAAAGAAAGCGUAAUAGCUCACUGGUCGAGUCGGCCUGCGCGGAAGAUGUAACGGGGCUAAACCAUGCACCGAAGCUGCGGCAGCGACACUAUGUGUUGUUGGGUAGGGGAGCGUUCUGUAAGCCGUUGAAGGUGGCCUGUGAGGGUUGCUGGAGGUAUCAGAAGUGCGAAUGCUGACAUAAGUAACGAUAAUGCGGGUGAAAAACCCGCACGCCGGAAGACCAAGGGUUCCUGUCCAACGUUAAUCGGGGCAGGGUGAGUCGACCCCUAAGGCGAGGCCGAAAGGCGUAGUCGAUGGGAAACAGGUUAAUAUUCCUGUACUCGGUGUUACUGCGAAGGGGGGACGGAGAAGGCUAUGUUGGCCGGGCGACGGUUGUCCCGGUUUAAGCAUGUAGGCGGAUGUUCCAGGUAAAUCCGGAACGUCACUAACGCUGAGGUGUGAUGACGAGGCACUACGGUGCUGAAGUGACAAAUGCCCUGCUUCCAGGAAAAGCCUCUAAGCAUCAGGUAACAUCAAAUCGUACCCCAAACCGACACAGGUGGUCAGGUAGAGAAUACCAAGGCGCUUGAGAGAACUCGGGUGAAGGAACUAGGCAAAAUGGUGCCGUAACUUCGGGAGAAGGCACGCUGAUGGUAGGUGAAGUGACUUGCUCAUGGAGCUGAAAUCAGUCGAAGAUACCAGCUGGCUGCAACUGUUUAUUAAAAACACAGCACUGUGCAAACACGAAAGUGGACGUAUACGGUGUGACGCCUGCCCGGUGCCGGAAGGUUAAUUGAUGGGGUUAUCCGUAAGGAGAAGCUCUUGAUCGAAGCCCCGGUAAACGGCGGCCGUAACUAUAACGGUCCUAAGGUAGCGAAAUUCCUUGUCGGGUAAGUUCCGACCUGCACGAAUGGCGUAAUGAUGGCCAGGCUGUCUCCACCCGAGACUCAGUGAAAUUGAACUCGCUGUGAAGAUGCAGUGUACCCGCGGCAAGACGGAAAGACCCCGUGAACCUUUACUAUAGCUUGACACUGAACACUGGUCCUUGAUGUGUAGGAUAGGUGGGAGGCUUUGAAGUGUGGACGCCAGUCUGCAUGGAGCCAUCCUUGAAAUACCACCCUUUAAUGGCUGGUGUUCUAACGUGGGCCCCUAAUCGGGGUUGCGGACAGUGUCUGGUGGGUAGUUUGACUGGGGCGGUCUCCUCCUAAAGAGUAACGGAGGAGCACGAAGGUCAGCUAAUCCUGGUCGGACAUCAGGAGGUUAGUGCAAUGGCAUAAGCUGGCUUGACUGCGAGCGUGACGGCGCGAGCAGGUGCGAAAGCAGGUCAUAGUGAUCCGGUGGUUCUGAAUGGAAGGGCCAUCGCUCAACGGAUAAAAGGUACUCCGGGGAUAACAGGCUGAUACCGCCCAAGAGUUCAUAUCGACGGCGGUGUUUGGCACCUCGAUGUCGGCUCAUCACAUCCUGGGGCUGAAGUAGGUCCCAAGGGUAUGGCUGUUCGCCAUUUAAAGUGGUACGCGAGCUGGGUUUAGAACGUCGUGAGACAGUUCGGUCCCUAUCUGCCGUGGGCGCUGGAGAAUUGAGGGGGGCUGCUCCUAGUACGAGAGGACCGGAGUGGACGCAUCACUGGUGUUCGGGUUGUCAUGCCAAUGGCAUUGCCCGGUAGCUAAAUGCGGAAGAGAUAAGUGCUGAAAGCAUCUAAGCACGAAACUUGCCCCGAGAUGAGUUCUCCCUGACUCCUUGAGAGUCCUGAAGGAACGUUGAAGACGACGACGUUGAUAGGCCGGGUGUGUAAGCGCAGCGAUGCGUUGAGCUAACCGGUACUAAUGAACCGUGAGGCUUAACCUU